UACGGAGGAUGCGAGCGUUAUCCGGGUUUAUUGGGUUUAAAGGGUGCGUAGGCGGCUUUUUAAGUCAGCGGUGAAAUUUUGCAGCUUAACUGUAACAGUGCCGUUGAUACUGGGGAGCUAGGAUUUGGUUGCUGUGGGUGGAAUGUGUGGUGUAGCGGUGAAAUGCUUAGAGAUCACACAGAAUAUCGAUUGCGAAGGCAGCUCACAAAGCCAAGAUUGACGCUGAGGCACGAAAGUGUGGGGAUCAAACAGGAUUAGAUA
rnacentral:rRNA from 1 species